rnacentral:rRNA from 1 species
AGGACGAACGCUGGCGGCGUGCUUAACACAUGCAAGUCAAGGGGGCCCAGCAAUGGGCAACCGGCGAACGGGUGCGUAACACGUGAGCAACCUACCGAACUGUGGGGGAUAGCCGGCCUAACGGCCGAGUAAUACCGCAUACGCUCUCAGAGAGGCAUUUCUUUGAGAGGAAACCUACGGGACAGAUCGAGGGGCUCGCGGCCUAUCAGCUAGUUGGCGAGGUAACGGCUCACCAAGGCAACGACGGGUA